GUUACUUUGGCAGAAUAGUGCAAUAAAUUUAGAAUUUAUAUAAGUAAUUGUAUUACAAGUAACA
rnacentral:tRNA from 1 species